rnacentral:lncRNA from 1 species
GGUGUAUCUGCGCAGUCGUGUUGUAGAUGAAAAGGCCCCAGGGUUGGGAUCUGUAACUAAGGCUUUAACAGAAAAUCUUUGAACACGUAAAAGUCAGAAUAUACCUAGAACUUUUAACUGACUCCUUUGGAUGCCCUAAAGACCAAAAAAAAAAAAAGAAUGAGCUAUUACGGAAGUAGCUACCGGAUUGUCAACGUGGACUCCAAAUAUCCAGGCUAUCCUCCAGAGCAUGCCAUAGCCGAGAAGAGAAGAGCGAGGAGGCGCCUGCUCCACAAAGAUGGCAGCUGUAACGUGUACUUUAAACACAUUUUUGGAGAAUGGGGG